rnacentral:rRNA from 1 species
UACGGAGGGGGCUAGCGUUGUUCGGAAUUACUGGGCGUAAAGCGCGCGUAGGCGGACCUGCAAGUCGGGGGUGAAAGCCCGAGGCUCAACCUCGGAACUGCCUUCGAUACUGCGGGUCUCGAGUCCGGGAGAGGUGAGUGGAAUUCCUAGUGUAGAGGUGAAAUGCGCAGAUAUCAGGAAGAACACCCGUGGCUAAGGCGGCUCUCUAGUACGGUACUGACGCUGAGACGCGAAAGCGUGGGGAGCGAACAGG